CCCCCCCAAAUCGAUCCACCAGCCCUACCCCAACCCAAGAUGCCGCCAAAUUGAUUCGACUCAGCCACAGCCGCUCGCUCGCCACCACGAUCUGCAGCGUUUGGAGUCAUCUCACAGAUCCUCAACUGCUUGCUCGAUGCACCACGUCCACUGCACCAGGGCUGAGAGAGGGGAUGUCGAGAUUAUGAGAGGGCAGUGCUGAUAUGGUGGCCUGAGUGGGUCUCGGUUUGACUUUGGUUAAUUGUUUUUUGGGGCAGGUUUGAGUUUGCUUAGUUGUUUAGAUGCUUGCUGGAACGUUUUAAGGUUUAUUAUUGACUUUGGUUUAUUGUUCUUAAAAACUAAGUGGCAAAAAAGAGCACAGAUAGGAUCUCCAUGUGUGAGAAGCUCCCUUUAUGAUGUUUUUUUUGGGAUAAAAAACCGGAUUUACUUUUGAAUUCAAUAGUAUGUUUUCUAGAGAUAACUGAGCUAUACUCAUGGUAUAGAUGGAUGUUUGACUCAUGGCUAAACUGAAUAGAUCUACUGGUAAAACAUGUAGCCUAUAUUAAUUCAACCUGUCAUAUUUACACCAACCACGUAGCAAUUAGAGCUGUAAACGAGCCGAGUCGAGCCAAGCCAGGGCCAGCUCGACCUCGGUUGAACUUCAAACGAGCCAUCUCGGCUCGGCUCGAAAUCAUUAGUCGAGCCAAAAAUUUGAGCUCGGGCUCGACUCGUAUAAAAUUCGAGCUGGCUCGGCUCGCUCGGUUUUGGCUUGUGUUUUUUAAACAAUCAAGUUAGAUAUGUGGAAGGUGUGUUUACAAACCGAACCGAGCCGAGCCGAGCCAGCUCAUUUAAAACUGAGUCGAUUUUGAAUCGAGCUUUUCCGAACUUUUUCGAGCGAACUUCGAGCACGUCUCGACCCGCGAGUUUUAUGAACACCCCUAGUAGCAAUUGGUACGACAAUUUGAAAUGAUAUAUCUGUAUUUUGUAAUAUUUAAAAGGUCAGUAUAGUUUCUUUUUCUAGAUUUUUCAAAUUUUGCUCCUGGAAUAAUUGAAUAUAUGCACUACCUUUGAUUUUCAAUGCCAUUUGAUUCUAAGGUUUUUACAUAUGUGUAAAGUAUUGUUUACAUACAUUUUGCUCGAUUCUAAGGUUUUUACAUAUGUGUAAAGUAUUGUUUACAUACAUUUUUCUCCUGGAAUAAUUGAAUAUAUGCACUACCUUUGAUUUUCAAUGCCAUUCGAGUUUUAUGAACACCCCAAACCCCACGGCGCUGCCAGAUUGAUUCAACCCGACCACAGAGGCUCGCUCGCCGCCACGACUUGCAGCCUUCGGAGUCAACUUACCACCUCAGCCGCUCGCGCGCCGCACCUCGUCCGCUGCACCAGGUAGAUAAUCUUCGGAAGCAUGUUCAUCGGUCUAGACUUAUCAAAAAUAUCGAAUUGGUGGUCGUUUCACCUUUGCUCAGGACUAUGCAAACAGCAGUUGGUGCUUUUGGAGGUGAAGCUACUGCUGUUGGGAUUGAUGUGCCUCCACUGAUGGCAGAAAAUAUGGGCAACAGUAAUCGUCCUGCAAUUUCAAGCCUAAAUUGUCCUCCCUUCAUUGCUGUGGAGCUUUGUCAAGAGGAUAUGGGCAUUCAUCCUUGUGAUCGGAGGAGAAGUAUAAGUGAAUACAAAUCCAUGUUCCCAGCAAUUGAUUUUUCUUUGAAUAUGAAGAGAGGCCCGAAUUACCAUCUUCCGACAAGUUAAGUUGCGGCAGGUGCUUUUCGAUACAUAACAGGUCCGCGAAUCAAAUUGUAGUUUAGCUCAUACAAGGUCAAACUACAAAUGUUUGUCAUCCCCGCCACAACACGCGAGUUGAAAGCACUAGUUACUACUGUUUUAAUAUGGUGAUAUAAACAAACUGCUAUGUAAUUUUUGGUUGUUUAAAUGUGAAUUACUGUUUAAUUCUUUGUAUACUUAUACUUGUGAACGUUUUGGUCCA